ACAUAAAGAAUCACAUGGGGAAAUUCUGCAAUGUGUUGGAGGCUGGAAUAAUUGUCAUUGACUCUUUAUUUUGAAGCAUCUGGAAUAGCUGCAAAUUCACAGACCAUAUGCUGCUACUUGGAAAAACUCCUGUGCUUCCUACUUGUAAGGCAUGCAGACCACAUUCCUAAUUACAAUGCAUCUUUGCAGAAAAAGAGUAGCCCUCAUUUAAGCCACAUGUUAAAGGAAACAGGUGCCAAUAAUGGAUCAGUGUCCCUCGAAAACCUCUAAAUCCAAGAAGCCAAUAGAGGCCAAUGGAGAAAUACUAUGUUGAAAAAAGCAACCAAUGAAAAGAAAGUAUUUCAUCUCCUCCAGGCACAGAGCACAGGUUAUUUCACUGUCUCUACUGAUACUUCUAAAAUAAGAAGAAA